rnacentral:rRNA from 1 species
GAUGAACGCUGGCGGCGUGCCUAAUACAUGCAAGUCGAGCGAACGGACGAGAAGCUUGCUUUUCUGAUGCUAGCGGCGGACGGGUGAGUAACACGUGGAUAACCUACCUAUAAGACUGGGAUAACUUCGGGAAACCGUAGCUAAUACCGGAUAAUAUUUUGAACCGCAUGGUUCAAAAGUGAAAGACGGUCUUGCUGUCACUUAUAGAUGGAUCCGCGCUGCAUUAGCUAGUUGGUAAGGUAACGGCUUACCAAGGCAACGAUGCAUAGCCGACCUGAGAGGGUGAUCGGCCACACUGGAACUGAGACACGGUCCAGACUCCUACGGGAGGCAGCAGUAGGGAAUCUUCCGCAAUGGGCGAAAGCCUGACGGAGCAACGCCGCGUGAGUGAUGAAGGUCUUCGGAUCGUAAAACUCUGUUAUUAGGGAAGAACAUAUGUGUAAGUAACUGUGCACAUCUUGACGGUACCUAAUCAGAAAGCCACGGCUAACUACGUG